rnacentral:rRNA from 1 species
GCGCAGGCGGUUUCUUAAGUCUGAUGUGAAAGCCCCCGGCUCAACCGGGGAGGGUCAUUGGAAACUGGGAGACUUGAGUGCAGAAGAGGAGAGUGGAAUUCCAUGUGUAGCGGUGAAAUGCGUAGAUAUAUGGAGGAACACCAGUGGCGAAGGCGGCUCUCUGGUCUGUAACUGACGCUGAGGCUCGAAAGCGUGGGGAGCGAACAGGAUUAGAUACCCUGGUAGUCCACGCCGUAAACGAUGAGUGCUAAGUGUUGGAGGGUUUCCGCCCUUCAGUGCUGCAGCAAACGCAUUAAGCACUCCGCCUGGGGAGUACGACCGCAAGGUUGAAACUCAAAGGAAUUGACGGGGGCCCGCACAAGCGGUGGAGCAUGUGGUUUAAUUCGAAGCAACGCGAAGAACCUUACCAGGUCUUGACAUCCUUUGACCACUCUAGAGAUAGAGCUUCCCCUUCGGGGGCAAAGUGACAGGUGGUGCAUGGUUGUCGUCAGCUCGUGUCGUGAGAUGUUGGGUUAAGUCCCGCAACGAGCGCAACCCUUAUUGUUAGUUGCCAUCAUUUAGUUGGGCACUCUAGCGAGACUGCCGGUGACAAACCGGAGGAAGGUGGGGAUGACGUCAAAUCAUCAUGCCCCUUAUGACCUGGGCUACACACGUGCUACAAUGGGAAGUACAACGAGUUGCGAAGUCGCGAGGCUAAGCUAAUCUCUUAAAGCUUCUCUCAGUUCGGAUUGUAGGCUGCAACUCGCCUACAUGAAGCCGGAAUCGCUAGUAAUCGCGGAUCAGCACGCCGCGGUGAAUACGUUCCCGGGCCUUGUACACACCGCCCGUCACACCACGAGAGUUUGUAACACCCGAAGUCGGUGAGGUAACCUUUUUGGAGCCAGCCGCCUAAGGUGGGAUAGAUGAUUGGGGUGAAGUCGUAACAAGGUAGCCGUAUCGGAAGGUGCGGCUGGAUCACCUC